rnacentral:rRNA from 1 species
AUUGAACGCUGGCGGCAGGCUUAACACAUGCAAGUCGAACGAGUGGCGGACGGGUGAGUAAUGUCUGGGAAACUGCCUGAUGGAGGGGGAUAACUACUGGAAACGGUAGCUAAUACCGCAUACAAUUAGAGCUGCCCAUAUGGGAUUAGCUAGUUGGUGGGGUAAAGGCUCACCAAGGCGACGAUCCCUAGCUGGUCUGAGAGGAGGACCAGCCACACUGGAACUGAGACACGGUCCAGACUCCUACGGGAGGCAGCAGUGGGGAAUAUUGCACAAUGGGCGCAACCCUGAUGCAGCCAUGCCGCGUGUAUGAUGAAGGCCUUCGGGUUGUAAAGUACUUUCAGCGGAGAGGCGUUAUCCGCAGAAGAAGCACCGGCUAACUCCGUGCCAGCAGCCGCGGUAAUUC